rnacentral:rRNA from 1 species
AGCAGCCGCGGUAAUUCCAGCUCCAAUAGCGUAUAUUAAAGUUGUUGCAGUUAAAAAGCUCGUAGUUGAAUUUCGGGAUUAGUGCGCCGGUCGUGCCUUCGGUAUGUACUGGUGUUACUGGUUCCUACCUUCUGACGAACCGUCAUGUCAUUAAUUUGGUGUGGCGGGGAAUCAGGGCUGUUACUUUGAAAAAAUUAGAGUGUUUAAAAGCAGGCUCGCGCUUGAAUACAUUAGCAUGGAAUAAUGAAAUAGGACGUUCGAUCCUAUUUUGUUGGUUUCUAGGAUUGACGUAAUGAUUAAUAGGGAUAGUUGGGGGCAUUAGUAUUCAAUUGUCAGAGGUGAAAUUCUUGGAUUUUAUUGAAGACUAACUACUGCGAAAGCAUUUGCCAAGGAUGUUUUCAUUAAUCAAGUAACGAAAGUUAGGGAUCGAAGACGAUACAGAUACCGUCGUAGUCUUAACCAUAAACUAUAGCCGACUAGGGAUCGGAUGAUGUUAUUUUAUGUACUUCAUUCGGCGUCC